rnacentral:misc_RNA from 1 species
GAUGAAGAACGCAGCGAAAUGCGAUAAGUAAUGUGAAUUGCAGAAUUCAGUGAAUCAUCGAAUCUUUGAACGCACAUUGCGCCCCUUGGUAUUCCGAGGGGCAUGCCUGUUCGAGCGUCAUUAUAACCCCUCAAGCUCAGCUUGGUGUUGGGGCCUGCUGCACUGGCAGCCCUUAAAAUCAGUGGCGGCGCCAUCUGGCUCUAAGCGUAGUAAUUCUUCUCGCUAUGGAGUCCUGGUGGAUGCUUGCCAUCAACCCCCAAUUUUUCUAUGGUUGACCUCGGAUCAGGUAGGGAUACCCGCUGAACUUAAGCAUAUCAAUAAGCGUAGGA